GAAUUAACAUUACUGUAUGAUAGUGUAUGACUUUCAAUUGUGUCAAAUGUUUAAUUUGCUUUCAUGGUGCUUUUAAUUGAGAAAAUGUUGAACUAUAUUUUCAAGUUCAAAAAUUUAUUUGUAAUAUAACCCAGUGUAUCGGCUGGGUUCAUAUAGCUAUUGAGCGGCUUUUCCAUGACAUUUAAAACUUCGUCCUUGACAUCUGCACCUAUCAUGGUCAAUGUCACAUUGAUUUGAUAUUUGAUGUGUAUGAUAAUUGGAUGUGUUGAAAUUUGACUUUGAGCCCAGCAUCUCCCAGUUUAGCUUACUUAUUUGAUUGUUUAUUGAUACAGUUGUACCUUUUGAGGGAUCUGUUUGAAUGCAGUCCAUAUUAAUGAUUUGCCUUGAAAACAAUUUGAUCAAUGUAUAUAUCAGCCGUUUCCUUUAACGCCAAAUAAAUAUUAACAAAUAC
rnacentral:misc_RNA from 1 species